rnacentral:rRNA from 1 species
UAGGGAAUCUUCGGCAAUGGGGGGAACCCUGACCGAGCAACGCCGCGUGAGUGAAGAAGGUUUUCGGAUCGUAAAGCUCUGUUGUUAAGGAAGAACGAGUGUGAGAAUGGAAAGUUCAUACUGUGACGGUACUUAACCAGAAAGGGACGGCUAACUACGUCCCAGCAGCCGCGGUAAUACGUAGGUCCCGAGCGUUGUCCGGAUUUAUUGGGCGUAAAGCGAGCGCAGGCGGUUAGAUAAGUCUGAAGUUAAAGGCAGUGGCUCAACCAUUGUAGGCUUUGGAAACUGUUUAACUUGAGGGCAGAAGGGGAGAGUGGAAUUCCAUGUGUAGCGGUGAAAUGCGUAGAUAUAUGGAGGAACACCGGUGGCGAAAGCGGCUCUCUGGUCUGUAACUGACGCGGAGGCUCGAAAGCGUGGGGAGCGAACAGG